rnacentral:misc_RNA from 1 species
CAAGAUCUGUAUCCCGUGAAUGUUAAGCCACAAUCAUGCCAUCAUAUGUCUCGGAGGCGAUGGUGAUGCCACAUUUGCGCUGAAGGUUAUGGUGUCCAUGGGGCAUUUAAAGGGAUGUCAGCGCCGCACUGCUUGAGCAGACGGUCAUCAAUGUCAUCUCCCCGCUAUCAACACGGACUAUCACCGCAACAUUAAGCAGACGGCUGGGAUCCAAGGAGAAAUUUAGUGCUGCGAUGGUAGUUGUAGGCCGCAGGCCAGGCUGAAAAGGCUCGUGUGAUGCUAGCGGCAGGUGGGAGUAAUGGGGCCAUGGCCGAGGAGAGGUAGUGCUUAGACGCAUAAAAAGAGGAAGAAGAAACGAAUGUUCUGAAGGAGGAGCAGAGGGUGCCAAAG